UACGUAGGUCCCGAGCGUUGUCCGGACUUAUUGGGCGUAAAGCGAGCACAGGUGGUUUAUUAAGUCUGGUGUAAAAGGCAGUGGCUCAACCAUUGUAUGCAUUGGAAACUGGUAGACUUGAGUGCAGGAGAGGAGAGUGGAAUUCCAUGUGUAGCGGUGAAAUGCGUAGAUAUAUGGAGGAACACCGGUGGCGAAAGCGGCUCUCUGGCCUGUAACUGACACUGAGGCUCGAAAGCGUGGGGAGCAAACAGG
rnacentral:rRNA from 1 species